rnacentral:lncRNA from 1 species
GCACAACACAUAGCUCAUAAUAUAUACAUAUAUACAUAUUUUAAGCUACAAAACAGCCAAAACUCUAGCUCCCCUUACCUUGGAGUUGAAUAGCCCAACUCACUAGAAAGCCCUAACAGCCUCACACAACAAGGAACUCGCCCAAACCCUACAAAUCACCAUUAUGUGGUAAAGAACAACCCUUUAGAGAUAGAGUUUGACAGAAAAUAGUAGAAGGAUGCUACUAGUUACAUGUAACCAGUAGAAAUCACAUAGCCAAGGUUCUAAAACAACGGAGGAAAAAAAAAAGAAAGAACGACUUACCCGUCUAGGACCCGAAACUGAUCGGUGGGUUUCG